rnacentral:lncRNA from 1 species
AGACCAUCUUCGCGUGGGUUAGAACGGCCAUGCCGGCCACGUACAUCUCGGGUAUUUUACCACAAAGAGGAUAUCCUUGUAGACGCCAAGCAGCUUCCAUUGGGCUUAAAUAUCUACCAUCUACAUACUGAGUGAGUUCAUCAUGUACUAUGGGAGUUUCUUCGCUAGAAUUAUUUGGAUUUUCAAUUUUUUUCAUCUUACAUAAUGCUCUAUCUCCACCUUUGUGAAUAUAAUCGAAUAUGUAUUUAAUACUUUGAAUUGAUGCACAAUAAAAAGUUAUUAUAAGGAACAACCAUUGUGUUGUCAACUGGAAUAAUUUUUCUAAAUUUUUUAAUUCGAUAAGUAUAGUUUUGUGAAAUGUUAUUUCUUCUUCGAUAUUCAGGAUAACCAUUUUCUAUAAAAAUGGUGAUAUCGCGGAAUGGUUUUGGAAAUUUUUUUUUACAAAUAGUCUUAUUUUUGAUGAUGCAAGGAGAUUUAUCUGUCUGUGGUCCAUGUAACAUAUGUUUAAUUACUAAUUUUUGUAAACCUUUAUCUGAAUUAUCAGGAAUUUCAGCAGAAAUGUAUUUGUCAAUAGAUUGAGGUGUCAUGAGCUUGUUUUUUGGAUGUAGCGUAACUACAAUAUGAGCGUGUGGUAAUCCUCUCUUUUGAAAUUCUAUUGUAAACACAUAAGCUAUUACUUUUUAUCAUAAAGGUAACAUUUUUAAAUCAUCUAUUAUAAAAUAUUUUGGUUAUUAAGUAAAAAAAAUGAAUUUCUAUUUGAAUACCAAAUUGAUUUAUUUACAUUAAUUUCAGAAUAUAUCAGACAAUAAAAACGAGAGUUAAAAUAUGAUUUCAAGAUUAAAUUCCAAAAAAAAUCUACUAUCUAAAUUGACUAUCUACAGAUGAACUGUCCUUUUUUAAUUAUUUACAAUACUUUUAUAUAAAUAAAUAUUUACAUUUUUUAUACUCAAUUUAUUAUUUAUCAAUACAAUAUAAUAAAAACCACAAUAUGGGGUUGGCGAGCGGAGCAAGCAGUGGGAUACCCCCCCUAGUAUAUAUAUAUGUGUGUGUAUAAAGAGAAUAUGAUAGUUUAAUGUUAAGUCAUUUACUUUCAUCCACUUUUUCAAUAACUUUAUUCGAAAAAACUGAACAUUUUCUAUAAAAAACGCGUCUACAAAAUUUAAAAACAAGCUUACUUCCUGCAUGUUUUUAUACAAACUCCAAAAAUUAUUAUUAAAAGGCUUCCUUGAAGAUCAAUCUGGCUGCAGAAAAAAAUCGAUAGUUCAUGGCCUUAUUUUAUUGACUAAAUAGACUGAACGUAACAUCGACGUUACACAGAAUGAAGACUGCUGGCGACACAUCAAGUAAGGGGUCGGGGAAUAAACAAAACAAGCCCCUACAAAAAGAUUCUUAUGAUAUAAAUAUCUUGGAUUAAUUGUUUUCAAGACAACACAAAAACGUCGAAAACCUUGUAUUAGCUGCGUCAAAAGCAGAUGCACUUCUAUCUCAUAGGAAACUAAAUCAGCCGCUACACAAAUCGCAUAAGCCCGCGUAAUGAGUUGUUACACGAUAAAUCCCGACUAAAGGGCGAAAAGUUAAAACUGAAUAUAUUAAAAUUUAGUGCCGCUUAGACGUUUAAAUCUGCAUAUCCUGAAUGUUUCAGAAAAUUUUUUUAAAAACUAUUUUGUUAUAAAACGUCCUUGAGAAACAGCCAGAGCUAAUAAAAACGCAAUUUUUCUAUUGAGUAUAUUAUAUUGCUUAUUCUUAAUGAAACUUACAAUAAAAAAUGAAGAACACAGAGAGAGGUUGAUUGGACUUGUUUUGCCAAAUAACGUUAUUAUAAAUGGGUUUUAAUUAAUUGAACGAGCAGGAGGGCUUUUUUGGCAUUUGAAAUACGAAAUGUCCCGUGGCAGCGUUGCAAUCAAGCUUUAGAUCCGUCUGCACUCGCAACACUACACCUAUAUACAAUAAACUAUUCAAUUAUGGAAAAUAUUCUAUUGGUUGAGGUGAUUUUGAAAGUUAAAAUGCCAAAUUGUUCAAAAGAUACAGCUAUAAGUGAACAUUUUAUCAAAUUUCUGAUCCAGCAAAUGGUAUAUACAAGUGAUUUUUCUUAUUAUAGUGUACCAGUAAACAUAUCUUAAUGUCUUAGACGAAUUGUUUUCCCGAAGCCCGGCAGCUCACCUUGUAACUAAAAUGUUUCCAUUGCUUUCUGACAUAGCCGACUUAGGACAGGCAAAUGCUAUUAAAUAAUUUAGCAUACUUGUAACCUAAGUUGGCAUUUUAUUACACAGCACCGCGGUAUCCUACGCGCCGUGUGAUAAAGUAAGUACCACUUAGCAGGUCACAGGUAUCGUAAUGUACAUCAAUUUUAUUGAUAAUUGUGUGAUUGUUCUAUACAUCAGUAAAUCUUAAAAAUUUACUUAAUAAUGUGUUUACAAUUUGAUAUAGUUCAUAUAUAUAAUUUAUUACCAUUUUGCUGACAAUUUAUAUUUACAGUUAAAAUUUUAUUACUUGUUUUUAAUCAAAUUCUUAAAAUAAAUUAAAGUAUAACGUAUGCGUUUGGAAAUUGAAAGCUUGUUGAUGUACUAUCAGUCU